rnacentral:rRNA from 1 species
UGGGGGAUAUUGCACAAUGGGGGAAACCCUGAUGCAGCGACGCCGCGUGAGGGAAGAAGGUUUUCGGAUUGUAAACCUCUGUCAUUCGGGAAGAGAAGAAGACGGUACCGAAUGAGGAAGCUACGGCUAACUACGUGCCAGCAGCCGCGGUAAUACGUAGGUAGCAAGCGUUGUCCGGAAUUACUGGGUGUAAAGGGAGCGUAGGCGGGAAGGCAGGCCAGCUGUUUAAACUAUGGGCUCAACCCAUAAGCGCAGUUGGAACCGUUUUUCUUGAGUGGAGUAGAGGCAGAUGGAAUUCCUAGUGUAGCGGUGGAAUGCGUAGAUAUUAGGAGGAACACCAGUGGCGAAGGCGGUCUGCUGGGCUUUAACUGACGCUGAGGCUCGAAAGCGUGGGGAGCAAACA